CCGCACUCCCUCAGCGGCUGGGCGGCUAGUUCAAGUUGCCAUAGCGGCGAGUCUGGGGAAGGGUAGGGUCGGUUGCGUCGCAGUGUUUGGGCAGUUGCACCUUCUGGGUCACAGGUAGCGACGGGAGCCUGAUUUAGCCUCGGUGAUGAUCGAGCACUAAGGACCUGGGUCGCCCUCUGUCUCAGGUGCUCUGGGGGAAGUGUAGGGGCCGCGUGAGCUCACCUGCUUGACUAGGCCUGUUGUCCCGCACCCCAUGAAGAAAUGAUAGGAGGCAGACGCAUGUGCCAGCAAAGAGCACUGAGCUCAGAGGAGAGCAGCACGGAGUUUUGGGGGUGUGCUUGGGUUGGUGUACACCGAUGGCAGAAUCAUCCAGCGAUUCAGACCGCUUCUUCUGUCGUGACCGACUGAGUAGAUGGGCUGCCAGGUCAACUCACAAGGGAGUUCGAGGUCAUCCUGCGGUAGACGUCACUGAGAAGGUCCACAGCAUAACAAGCACGUUACAGGAUACCAGUCGGAACCUGCGACAAGUGGACCAGAUGCUUGGACGAUACCGAGAAUAUAGUAACGGACAGGCGAGUGCUAUAGAACAACUAAAAGAAAGCUUGGAACAUUCAAUAGGUCAACUACGAAGUCAACGUUUAUUGAGAAACUCAGGAGGGAGAAGUUUCUCUGUUCCGAGUCUGAGUGCCAGUGAGUUCGAUGACGACGCUGUGACAGAGAGCCAUCACAUUCCACCUACCUCACCUCUCAAGGACUAUGGGGACUCCCAGGGCAUUAGACGAAUUAGAUCUAAAACCGGCGUCCGGUUUGUUCAGGAGCCUGGAAACAUGGCCCAGCUUCACGCUUUCCAUCAGUCCCUCCGAGAUCUCAGCAGUGAACAGGCUCGCCUUGGAGAAGAUUUCAACAGGGAACUCUCCAGAAGAAGCCGAUCAGAUGCUGAAACAAAAAGAGUUUUGGAAGAAUUGGCUGAAAAACUUAAUGAAGCCCAGAAACAAGAAGUGGUUUCCGAUCGGGUGGAGCGAAGGCUUCGGGAAAUUGAAAGAGAGAUGCGUACAGAAAGAGAGCUGGUGGAAAGACGUCAAGAUCAGCUGGGUCUUAUGUCCUUGCAGCUACAGGAGGCACUGAAGAAGCAAGAAGUUAAAGCAGAUGGGAAUGAAGACAUAAUCAAAACUAAGCUAAGACAAACUGAAAAUGAGAAGAAUCAACUUGAACAGGACUUGGAGCUGUCUCGAAGGCUGCUGACUCAGUCAGAAGGCAGCAGGGAGACUCUGCUGCAACAGGUCCAGGAGCUGCGCACACAGUUAACGAAGGCAGAAGGCGACCGGAAAGGCUUGCAGCAUCCAGCGUCUCAGGUUGCCGGGCAGUCAGGCCAUCAGGACGAGCAAGGAGAUGACUGGAAGUUUAGGAGAGGAGUAGAGCGGGAAAAACAGGAUAUGCAGAAGCAGAUGUCCGAUUUCAGAGUGCAGCUGAACCUGAGUACCAUGGCGUCUGAGUUAGAGGAGGUGAAGCGGUGCCUGGCGCGCAAGGACAAGGAGAAAGCGCACUUGUCAGCCCAAAUCCAGAAUUUAACUCACGAGUUGGAGAGCAGGGAAGAACAACAGUUGCACAUGCUGAAUCAGCUCAAGGAGAUCCAAAAUCACUUUGAGACGUGCGAGGCUGAGCGCAAGCGAGCUGACCUCCAGAUCGCGGAGCUGACGCAGCACGCCGAGGAUGCCACCAAGCAGGCCGAACAGUACCUGGCUGAGCUGCGGCGGUCGGAGGCCCUGAGGGAGGAGGCUGAAAGACGCAGAGAAGACCUGAAGCUGAAAGCCCAGGAAUCCAUCAGGCAGUGGAAACUGAAGCAUAAGAAACUAGAGCGAGCAUUGGAGAAACAGUCUGAAACUCUUGAUGACUUGACAGAAAAGAACAAUCAGAUUUUAAAAGAAAAGGAGGAAUUGAAAAGCCAGCUUUAUACAGCCUUACAACAAACAGAGAAUCUGAGAAAGGAGUUGAAUGAUGUCAUAAGUAAGUGUGUCCUUCAAGAGGAGGAGCUUCACUCCAAGGAAAAGAAGUUAAAUGAUGUUGAAUCUCAUCAAGCUGAACUUGAACUAGAAGUCAAGAAUUCGCUAGAGAACAUCCAUAGAUUAGAAAGUGAAUUGAAAAAACACAGUAAAAUUCAAAGCCAGAUGAAAGCUGAGAAAGCCCACCUGGAGGAGGAAAUCACUGAGCUGAGGAAGAGCCAGGCUCAGGACAAGGCGAAACUCCUCGAGAUGCAAGAGUCCAUCAAGGACUUGAGUGCCAUUCGAGCAGAUCUUGCUAACAAAUUGGCUGAGGAAGAGCGAGCCAAGAGAGCGGUGCUUAAGGACCUUGCUGACCUCACCACACAGGCCAAGUGCAAGGAUGAAGAAACAGCUACGGUCAUCACACAGUUAAAGCUAGAACGAGAUGUUCACCAGAGGGAGCUGGAGGAUCUCACAGCCUCAUUGCAGAGCGUGAAAACGAAGCACGAGCAAAAUAUCCAGGAGCUGAUGAAGCACUUUAAGAAAGAAAAGACCGAAGCGGAGCAUCACAUUAGGACGCUGAAGGCCGAAAGUGCAGAAGAUAAGAAUAUAGCUAAAGCCCAUCGUUGUCAGCUGGAGAAGUUGAAGUCACAGUGUGAGAAACUGACAGAGGAAUUAAGCCAGAAUGAAAAUGAGAAUAAGAAAUUGAAGCUAAAAUAUCAAUGUUUGAAGGAUCAACUAGAAGAGAAGGAAAAACAUAUAAGCAAUGAAGAAGAGCACUUGCGGAGGAUGGAAGAGGCGAGACUGCAGCUCAAGGAUCAGCUGCUUUGCCUGGAGACCGAGCAGGAAUCCAUCCUUGGUGUGAUAGGGAAGGAGAUCGAUGCUGCUUGCAAAACCUUCUCCAGGGACUCGAUGGAGAAACUGAAAGUUUUUUCAUCUAGUCCUAAUAUCCACUGUGAUCCACAUCGCUGGUUAGCGGAAAGCAAGACUAAACUUCAGUGGCUCUGUGAGGAGCUGAAAGAGAGAGAGAACAGAGAGAGAAGUCUGCGCCACCAGCUGCUGCUCUGCAGAGAACAGCUCCGGGAGCUGACGGCGAGCAAGGAGUCUGAGCUGCAGUGUCUGUUUGAGCAGAUUGAGAGACAAGAGCACCUGCUGGAAGAGAUUCACCAGGAGAAGACAGAUCUGCUGCAGGAGACCCAAAGAAAAAAUGAAGAAAUGGAAUCUCUUCAGCUAAAGCUACCAUUUAAACUUUCAUCUUGGGAAGAUGCUAGUCAGACUGCAGAGAAAACUCAGACUGAAGCUCAAUUUGAAGAAAAAGCAGACCGUGUACAUGUGUUAGAGACGGUAAGUUGGGGCAUUUUCGCUUUCCUUGUAUCCAAAGUACUGCCGUUUCCUGAUGUGGAUUUCAGAGCAAAAGAAGCAGUUGGAGAAAGUGCUUCUGUAGCUACAUCUAACAUUCAAAGCUGAAAAUGAACUAAAUUGUUAUAAAGAGUACCCGAGUGGCUUUGGACCAUCUGGAGUCUGUGCCUGAAAAACUGAGCCUCCUGGAAGAUUUCAAAGACUUCAGAGGUUCCCGCAGUUCAUCCGAGAGAAUUGAUGCUAGAUACUCCAAUGCCACAGCUCCCAGAGCUUCUCUUCAGCAGUGCCGAGAUGAUACCAAGUACAGAAUCAAAAGCUUCAAAGGUGACAGAACCUUCUCUGAGGGUCCCCACACUUAUGGGUUGGAUCUUUCGUCCUCAUGGCUAGAUCACAGUUGCUUCCUGUCGUCUAGUCCACGAUUUUCACACUUGAACUCGUUCACUAAAAGAACCGUUGCUCCAGAUUCGGGUUCUACCAAGGAGGAUGCUACAAGUUUAUCACUUAAUGGAACCGGUCCCCAGUCAAAGGAGGAGUAUGAGAGCAGAAAAGGCAAAAUGUAACCAGUGAUUUCACAUGAAUGUUUCACCAGUGAAAGUCACUUACCUACACUUGCUGCUGAUGUCCUAACUUGUCUUACCAAAAGAACACCUGAAGCUUUGGCUGUUUGCUAUUGCCAACUGUUAACAACAGCAAAAUGAUAAUACAAUAGGACCUUGUGAAUGAUAGUACUUAAACCAAUGCAAAUAAUAUCAA